ACCCCCUGCAAAACUGCCUUCAGCUUAUCUCACGGCCUUAGAAAGAGAAGUGACACUUAGCUGCUGUCCAUCAAGAGACAAGGCUGGAGUAGGGUUGGCAACUAUAUGCAGUCCUUACAACACUCUUGUACCCAUAGUGCUCACAUUACCUAGGACAUCACCACUGAGCCCAGACAGGUCUUGUGACUCUACUCAUCACUGCGGCUCUACCAAUGAGGGAAGUCACGGUGAGACAUAGUUGACAUCUUGUAAUAAGAAGAACUUUGGGGCGCUGCGUUAGUCAACAAUGGAAGACUUGAAUUUACUAAAGAAUGCCUGGAAGAUAGGUGCUUGGAAGUUUUGUAACCUUGCCCAAGUCUCCUAGCUCUCAAGUGGUACCUUGAGAUCCCCACCGGCUCUGUCUGACCUUAGGCCUCUGCUCUUUGCAUGAGGUCCUGUUGGCUCCCAGAUCACAAUCUAGGCGUGUUCCAUACUCCUUCUAACCCAAGGCUCCUACUUUUGGGGAUGUGCGAACAAUAUUUGCUCUUGCAAAGAAAACAGGAGACAGGAAAUAGCAAAGGAGAAAGGCCAGGGUCAGGUCAAGAGCUUCCCACGUCUUCUCGUCCCAGUCUGGCAUCAACCAGAUAGAAGCCUUAGGGAGGUCCCAGAAGCCAGGGCCCACAAUCAAAAGAUCGAAAGAUAAGUAGAAUGCUGAAAAAAUUGGCAGCAUGCUUGUGGCUCAGACAUUGAUGAUCUUAAACUGUUUGCACAGUUCAAUAAUAUACAUGACUUUUCAUUUUGCUUCUGACGUCUUAUAACUUUAAGCAGCUUUAUGCCCAUGCCUUGGAUUCUGUACAAAGCUUAGAUAGAGUCAGAUUUCUGAUGACGGAAGGUCUUGGGUCUACAUCAUCUGUGAGGCUUGAGGAGUUCCUCUGUGGUUGCUGAAUUCCAGGAUUUAGUGAGAAACCAACUGGAUGUGACUGGUUGAGAACCAUCGAGGCAGCUAGAUACCAAGGGUUCCAGAUUCCUUCCCAACCAAAGGAUGCUGAGGACUGACCCCCAGAAAAGAUACAAAGUCUCAGUUCUGCACUGUCAUCCUGUUCCUUGAAGAAGAGCCACGAUUUCGUGGCCUUCUCUUCCCCUCACACUACUCACUGAAGAGGGUUUCAGUUAAAAAUUUCAAGGCAAAUCAUAAAAUGUUUGAGAAGUAAUUGUAGAUGGUUUCUUAUUCAUGUUUUUAACCUCAUGGUCAUUCUUGAUUCCUCUCUCUCACUAUGCCCUACCUUCCAUCCAAUUGCACGUCCUGUUGGUUCUAUUUCCAAAUUAUAUCUGGAAUCCAUCAGCUUCUAUCUAAUCUUCACUGCCAGCCACCAGCCUAAUCCAAGCCACCACCAUUAUAGCCUUCUAACUGGAGAACUGGCUUCUUGUUUGCAUCCGGCCCCCCAAUAUCCCAUUCUCCAUAUAGUGAUCAGAGUGACUGAGUAAAGAAUUGAACCAUGUACUAGCAAUUCCUCUCCUCCAACCCACCAAGAAUUCCCCCAUUAUGUUUAGGAUAAAGUCAAACUCCUUACCACAGCCUUUCAGACCUUGGGUAAUCCUUUCCUUGCUUUUAUCUCCAGCUCUAACUUAAAAUUU